UGAGUUUGGACUUGGUUUCCUAUCUU
rnacentral:piRNA from 1 species